rnacentral:rRNA from 1 species
GGACUACACGGGUAUCUAAUCCCGUUCGCUCCCCUAGCUUUCGCACCUCAGCGUCAGUUACGCGCCAGGACACUGCCUUCGCCUUCGGUGUUCCUCCGGAUCUCUACGCAUUUCACCACUCCACCCGGAAUUCCGUGUCCCUCUCGCGUCCUCAAGUCGGAGCGUCUUUCGAACACUCGGGUAGUUAAGCCACCCGCUGUCACCCGAAACGCCUCCGACCGCCUGCAUGCCCUUUACGCCCAGUAACUCCGGACAACGCUCGCCCCCUACGUAUUACCGCGGCUGCUGGCAC